rnacentral:rRNA from 1 species
AUUGAACGCUGGCGGAAUGCUUUACGCAUGCAAGUCGAACGGCAGCACGGACUUCGGUCUGGUGGCGAGUGGCGAACGGGUGAGUAACAUAUCGGAACGUAUCCAAUAAUGGGGGAUAACUAAUCGAAAGGUUGGCUAAUACCGCAUACGCCCUACGGGGGAAAGCAGGGGAUCUUCGGACCUUGCGUUAAUGGAGCGGCUGAUAUCUGAUUAGCUAGUUGGUGAGGUAAAGGCUCACCAAGGCGUCGAUCAGUAGCUGGUCUGAGAGGACGACCAGCCACACUGGAACUGAGACACGGUCCAGACUCCUACGGGAGGCAGCAGUGGGGAAUUUUGGACAAUGGGCGCAAGCCUGAUCCAGCCAUUCCGCGUGAGUGAAGAAGGCCUUCGGGUUGUAAAGCUCUUUCGCAAGGGAAGAAAACUUACUUUCUAAUAAAGAGUGAGGUUGACGGUACCUUGAUAAGGAGCACCGGCUAACUACGUGCCAGCAGCCGCAGUAA